rnacentral:rRNA from 1 species
AUUGAACGCUGGCGGCAGGCCUAACACAUGCAAGUCGAGCAGGGGUAGCAAUACCCUAGCGGCGAACGGGUGAGGAAUGCUUGGGAAUCUGCCUGGUAGUGGGGGAUAACGUUCCGAAAGGAACGCUAAUACCGCAUACGUCCUACGGGAGAAAGGGGGGGAUCUUCGGACCUCUCGCUAUCAGAUGAGCCCAAGCGGGAUUAGCUAGUUGGUGAGGUAAAGGCUCACCAAGGCGACGAUCCCUAGCUGGUCUGAGAGGAUGAUCAGCCACACUGGAACUGAGACACGGUCCAGACUCCUACGGGAGGCAGCAGUGGGGAAUAUUGGACAAUGGGCGAAAGCCUGAUCCAGCCAUGCCGCGUGUGUGAAGAAGGCCU